rnacentral:rRNA from 1 species
GUCCACGCCGUAAACGAUGGAUACUAGCUGUUGGGGGCAACUUCAGUGGCUAAGCGAAAGUGAUAAGUAUCCCACCUGGGGAGUACGUUCGCAAGAAUGAAACUCAAAAGGAAUUGACGGGGGCCCGCACAAGCGGUGGAGCAUGUGGUUUAAUUCGAUGAUACGCGAGGAACCUUACCAAGGCUUAAAAUGUAGAUUGACAGGACUGGAAACAGUUUUUUCUCGGACAAUUUACAAGGUGCUACAUGGUUGUCGU